CUGGUGGUCGUGUGAACUUCAUACAUCUCUGGUCCAGCUGAGGAAGCAGAGAUGAGGAACAUCCCUCGCUCCUCAUUGGCUACUUCUCUCACGAUGAGCUUCUGCAGUGGGAUCACGGGAGGUUUCUGGUCCUGAAAGACUGGGUACUUGGUGAUGCGCUGAGUGACCAAAAGGAUAAACUCUGGUAUCCCUCUUCUCCUGACCACCUCAGACUGGCAUUGCACUAGCGUGAAAGAAGGAGAGACAAAGGCAGCCUGCAGCCUACUGUAGCACACAGCCCUUAUGAGUUUCUAAGAAGGACGUCAACAAGUGGAAAUUGGCAGGGGGCAACACAGUUGACAACUUGCUUAGCACAUCUGCCCCAUGUCUGAGAACCCGGGUUCAAAUCCAGCCGCUCUGUGUAGAGUUUGCAUGUUUUCCUUGAGGGGGUUGUCGCCAAGUACUCCAGUUUCCUCCCACAUCCCCAAAACAUACAAGGUUGGAACAGCUGGCGGAAGGUCUCUGGUGUGUUAUGUGACAGAAGAGUCUCUGCUAAGACGAAGGGCAAAGUUUAUAAAACGUUGGAGAGGCCCGCCAUGAUGUACAGAUUAGAGACGGUGGCACUGAAGAAACAACAGGAAGCACAACUGGAGUAAUCUUCAACUGGGAGAGGAACUGAAGAGCCCGAAGUCUAUUUUUUGAAGAAUUGUUCAUUCUUUGCCAAAUUGUAGCAUGUCAUGAAGCAAGUUGCGUUCAUUGCCACUAUACACUGUUUUGAGGGGAAAUAUGAGUUACUGACUUCAUUACAAGUACAAAGAAGCAAUGUGAAUCAUGGGAACAAAGUUAGUGAAACAAAACAUUUUGGUCACUGCCAAAACGUUUGGCCACAACUGUACGCUCCAUGUGUUUGGAUGAAGACCCAAACAGCAACUGCAUUUCAAAGAGCAAACGAAAAUGAUUAUUUUUGCUCAUUGUUAUU